rnacentral:rRNA from 1 species
GACGAACGCUGGCGGUGUGCUUAACACAUGCAAGUCGAACGGAAAGGCCCUGCUUUUGUGGGGUGCUCGAGUGGCGAACGGGUGAGUAACACGUGAGUAACCUGCCCUUGACUUUGGGAUGACUUCAGGAAACUGGGGCUAAUACCGGAUAGGAGCUCCUGCUGCAUGGUGGGGGUUGGAAAGUUUCGGCGGUUGGGGAUGGACUCGCGGCUUAUCAGCUUGUUGGUGGGGUAGUGGCUUACCAAGGCUUUGACGGGUAGCCGGCCUGAGAGGGUGACCGGCCACAUUGGGACUGAGAUACGGCCCAGACUCCUACGGGAGGCAGCAGUGGGGAAUAUUGCACAAUGGGCGGAAGCCUGAUGCAGCAACGCCGCGUGCGGGAUGACGGCCUUCGGGUUGUAAACCGCUUUCGCCUGUGACGAAGCGUGAGUGACGGUAAUGGGUAAAGAAGCACCGGCUAACUACGUG